rnacentral:rRNA from 1 species
AUUGAACGCUGGCGGCAGGCUUAACACAUGCAAGUCGAGCGAGCGGCGGACGGGUGAGUAAUGUCUGGGAAACUGACUGAUGGAGGGGGAUAACUACUGGAAACGGUAGCUAAUACCGCAUACAAUCAGAUGUGCCCCAAGGGGAUUAGCUAGUAGGUGGGGGAAUGGAUAACCUAGGCGACGAUCCCUAGAUGGUCGUAGAGGAUGACCAGCCACACUGGAACUGAGACACGGUCCAGACUCCUACGGGAGGCAGCAGUGGGGAAUAUUGCACAAUGGGCGCAAGCCUGAUGCAGCCAUGCCGCGUGUUGGAAGAAGGCCUUCGGGUUGUAAAGCACUUUCAGCGAGGAGGCGUUACUCGCAGAAGAAGCACCGGCUAACUCCGUGCCAGCAGCCGCGGUAAUUC